GUGUUAGUGUGUUAGUGUGAGUGUGUUAGUGUGUUAGUGUGUUGGGUGUUAGAGUGUUAGGUGUUAGUGUGAGGAUCAUGUCUGGACUUGAAGCGUUUUUCUCAGAGAUUCUUUGGGCCGUUGCGUUUGGCCUCGUCGGUCGUUUGGCCUCGUCGGUCGUUUG